rnacentral:rRNA from 1 species
UACGUAGGGUGCAAGCGUUGUCCGGAAUCAUUGGGCGUAAAGCGCGUGUAGGCGGCUUUGCAAGUCGGGUGUGAAAGCCCUCAGCUCAACUGAGGAAGUGCGCCCGAAACUGCAGAGCUUGAGUGCCGGAGAGGGUGGCGGAAUUCCCCAAGUAGAGGUGAAAUUCGUAGAUAUGGGGAGGAACACCGGUGGCGAAGGCGGCCACCUGGACGGUAACUGACGCUGAGACGCGAAAGCGUGGGGAGCAAACAGG